UUUCUUGACUUGAUUAUUUUUUUCUUGGAACAGAUGGAUCUGCUGUGGAAUUUACUAUCAAUUACAUGUUUAUUCCUGCAACUUGAAGGAUGCACCAUGGUGAUCAAACCUAACAUUGUUGUUGUGGAUAUUGACAUGACACUGAGCACACCCAGCCCAUGCAGAAAUGUGACGCUACAGUGUGGAGAACAUGGCCCCAGUGUGUACUGGCAGAGGAAGAACCAGAAGAUAGGAAAGGGGAGUGAGCUAACCAUUCAGGUGCUGGGAACUUCACCUGUCACAAUGACAAUGGAGACAUUCUCAAUCACACCCUAGUGUUAAUUCAAGUGACAAAAAAUGACAAAGGAGAGCAUCCCAAACAAAUACUUCAAGAAAUCUCUGAUCAAAUAUAUAUUAAAUGUGAAACAAAAAACUAUUCUGGUGUAUUUGAGUGCUCUUGGAAUCUAAAUGUGAAUCCCAGCACCAUCCAGAUUUUAGUUGAAGCUCAUCA